rnacentral:rRNA from 1 species
AUUAAACGCUGGCGGCAUGCCUUACACAUGCAAGUCGAACGGCAGCACGGGGGCAACCCUGGUGGCGAGUGGCGAACGGGUGAGUAAAGCAUCGGAACGUGCCCUGGAGUGGGGGAUAACGUAGCGAAAGUUACGCUAAUACCGCAUAUUCUGUGAGCAGGAAAGCAGGGGAUCGCAAGACCUUGCGCUCUGGGAGCGGCCGAUGUCGGAUUAGCUAGUUGGUGGGGUAGAGGCCUACCAAGCCUACGAUCUGUAGCUGGUCUGAGAGGACGACCAGCCACACUGGGACUGAGACACGGCCCAGACUCCUACGGGAGGCAGCAGUGGGGAAUUUUGGACAACGGGCGCAAGCCUGAUCCAGCCAUGCCGCGUGAGUGAAGAAGGCCUUCGGUUGGUAAAGCGUCUUACGGCCGGGAACGAAAGUACG